CAGCCGCCGCGGGAAUACGAAGGGUGCAAGCGUUACUCGGAAUUACUGGGCGUAAAGCGUGCGUAGGUGGUGGUUUAAGUCCGUUGUGAAAGCCCUGGGCUCAACCUGGGAAUUGCAGUGGAUACUGGGUCACUAGAGUGUGGUAGAGGAUAGUGGAAUUUCCGGUGUAGCAGUGAAAUGCGUAGAGAUCGGAAGGAACAUCUGUGGCGAAGGCGACUAUCUGGGCCAACACUGACACUGAGGCACGAAAGCGUGGGGAGCAAACAGGAUUAGAUACCCCUGUAUCCCUGUCUCUUAUACA
rnacentral:rRNA from 1 species